rnacentral:rRNA from 1 species
GAGAGUUUGAUCCUGGCUCAGAUUGAACGCUGGCGGCAGGCCUAACACAUGCAAGUCGAGCGGUAACACAGAGAGCUUGCUCUCGGGUGACGAGCGGCGGACGGGUGAGUAAUGUCUGGGAAACUGCCUGAUGGAGGGGGAUAACUACUGGAAACGGUAGCUAAUACCGCAUAACGUCGCAAGACCAAAGUGGGGGACCUUCGGGCCUCAUGCCAUCAGAUGUGCCCAGAUGGGAUUAGCUAGUAGGUGGGGUAAUGGCUCACCUAGGCGACGAUCCCUAGCUGGUCUGAGAGGAUGACCAGCCACACUGGAACUGAGACACGGUCCAGACUCCUACGGGAGGCAGCAGUGGGGAAUAUUGCACAAUGGGCGCAAGCCUGAUGCAGCCAUGCCGCGUGUAUGAAGAAGGCCUUCGGGUUGUAAAGUACUUUCAGCGAGGAGGAAGGCGUUAAGGUUAAUAACCUUGGCGAUUGACGUUACUCGCAGAAGAAGCACCGGCUAACUCCGUGCCAGCAGCCGCGGUAAUACGGAGGGUGCAAGCGUUAAUCGGAAUUACUGGGCGUAAAGCGCACGCAGGCGGUCUGUCAAGUCGGAUGUGAAAUCCCCGGGCUCAACCUGGGAACUGCAUUCGAAACUGGCAGGCUAGAGUCUUGUAGAGGGGGGUAGAAUUCCAGGUGUAGCGGUGAAAUGCGUAGAGAUCUGGAGGAAUACCGGUGGCGAAGGCGGCCCCCUGGACAAAGACUGACGCUCAGGUGCGAAAGCGUGGGGAGCAAACAGGAUUAGAUACCCUGGUAGUCCACGCCGUAAACGAUGUCGACUUGGAGGUUGUGCCCUUGAGGCGUGGCUUCCGGAGCUAACGCGUUAAGUCGACCGCCUGGGGAGUACGGCCGCAAGGUUAAAACUCAAAUGAAUUGACGGGGGCCCGCACAAGCGGUGGAGCAUGUGGUUUAAUUCGAUGCAACGCGAAGAACCUUACCUGGUCUUGACAUCCACAGAACUUUCCAGAGAUGGAUUGGUGCCUUCGGGAACUGUGAGACAGGUGCUGCAUGGCUGUCGUCAGCUCGUGUUGUGAAAUGUUGGGUUAAGUCCCGCAACGAGCGCAACCCUUAUCCUUUGUUGCCAGCGGUCCGGCCGGGAACUCAAAGGAGACUGCCAGUGAUAAACUGGAGGAAGGUGGGGAUGACGUCAAGUCAUCAUGGCCCUUACGACCAGGGCUACACACGUGCUACAAUGGCAUAUACAAAGAGAAGCGACCUCGCGAGAGCAAGCGGACCUCAUAAAGUAUGUCGUAGUCCGGAUUGGAGUCUGCAACUCGACUCCAUGAAGUCGGAAUCGCUAGUAAUCGUAGAUCAGAAUGCUACGGUGAAUACGUUCCCGGGCCUUGUACACACCGCCCGUCACACCAUGGGAGUGGGUUGCAAAAGAAGUAGGUAGCUUAACCUUCGGGAGGGCGCUUACCACUUUGUGAUUCAUGACUGGGGUGAAGUCGUAACAAGGUAACCG